rnacentral:rRNA from 1 species
UACAGAGGUCCCAAGCGUUGUUCGGAUUUACUGGGCGUAAAGGGUGCGUAGGCGGUUGGGUAAGUCUGACGUGAAAUCUCCGGGCCUAACCCGGAAACUGCGUUGGAUACUACCUGACUAGAGGAAUGGAGGGGAGACUGGAAUACUUGGUGUAGCAGUGAAAUGCGUAGAUAUCAAGUGGAACACCAGUGGCGAAGGCGAGUCUCUGGACAUUUCCUGACGCUGAGGCACGAAAGCGUGGGGAGCAAACAGG